AGAGUUUGAUCCUGGCUCAGAUUGAACGCUGGCGGCAUGCCUUACACAUGCAAGUCGAACGGUAACAGCACUUCGGUGGCUGACGAGUGGCGAACGGGUGAGUAAUACAUCGGAACGUGCCCGAGAGUGGGGGGUAACGCAGCGAAAGCUGUGCUAAUACCGCAUACGAUCUACGGAUGAAAGCAGGGGACCGCAAGGCCUUGCGCUCACGGAGCGGCCGAUGGCAGAUUAGGUAGUUGGUGGGAUAAAAGCUUACCAAGCCGACGAUCUGUAGCUGGUCUGAGAGGACGACCAGCCACACUGGGACUGAGACACGGCCCAGACUCCUACGGGAGGCAGCAGUGGGGAAUUUUGGACAAUGGGCGAAAGCCUG
rnacentral:rRNA from 1 species